rnacentral:rRNA from 1 species
CGCCGCCGGCCGGACGUCCUCGAGGCGGACCGAGCCGGAGCGCUCGCGUCGGGACCCGAAAGGUGGUGAUCUAUCCGUGCGCGCGGCGAAGCCGGGGAAACCCCGGUGGAGGCCCGUCGACGGUACUGACGUGCAAAUCGUUCGUCCGACGUGCGAAUAGGGGCGAAAGACCAAUCGAACCUCCUAGUAGCUGGUUUCCGCCGAAAUUUCCCUCAGGAUAGCGGCCAUCGCGGAAACGUUUUGACCGGUAGAGCGAACGACUAGAGGUACCGGGGCCGUAACGGCCUCGACCUAUUCUCGAACUCCGAACGGGCAAGGAGCCGGGGUCGCCCGAUCGGACCCCGGACGUGAAGUCGACGAUGGUCGGUGGGCUGGUUUUGGUAAGCAGAACGGGCGAUUCGGGAUGAACCGGAAGCGGGGAGAAAGGGCCCGAGAUUGCGUCGACGCGGAUCCCGAAAAGGGCG